rnacentral:lncRNA from 1 species
GGGAGUAGUAGUUUGUGUAAUAUCGCGAUCCUUCUCUGGUGUUCCUUGUUUUAGCUGACGACACUCGAGAGCGCCAAUUUUCCUAGAUUCGAUUUUGUGGUUUGGAACUGUGGUUUUGGAAUCCAGAGUAGUCGCCUCGUUCUAGUAUCCAAUUGCUCCAGCACCAACUGGUGAAAAGACCAUCAUUCUUCUACUCAGUUGCAUUUGAAGCUUUGUCAAAAACCAGACACAAUUGGAGACACAGGUUCUUCUAUCAAGGCCUUGACUGGAAUGGCAUAUUUUCAGAUAUGACCACAUUGCUUUGAGGAAAUGAGGCUGAUGUUGCAGAGCUGAUAAAACCCCCACAGAAAGGCCAGCCUACCUCUGAACAGGGUCAUGCCCUUCCAACAUCCCAUCCUGAUGGCUGGAAUAUGGACAUGAGGGUGAACCACCUUGGACCAUGUGAAACAGGGUAACACCCCAAGGGCAGUAGAACAGGAAGACAACAAGCCUGGGUCUCAGAUAACUUUGUAGCUCAGGAUCCACAUAAAAGAUUGGACUGUUAUAUGAGAAAUCCUUUUAAAGAUCUAUAAGGUCUCUCUUGCAUACAACCAACUUAUGUGCUAACUAAUGUAUAAAGUGAGAGAAAACCUCAUCCUAUGACAUAUUCUCUGUACUAAUAAAGCCUUGAAGACAUUGACACUCUGGAUCAGGCUGUGCCUUGAGGUGAGAACCAUUGCUAUUUGCUAGGUUCCCCAAAAUUAACGAAUAAUUUGUCCCUAAAAGAAUAUUCUUAAAAUAUGGUGGGUCUGGCUGGGUGCGGUGGCUCACACCUGUAAUCCCAGCACUUUGGGAGGCCAAGGUGGAUGGAUUACGAGGUUAGGAGUUCGAGACCAGCCUGGCUAACACGGUGAAACCCCAUCUCUCCAUUGGAGAGACUCCCCACAGAGUAGGAGAAAAUGUCUCAGAUAUGGAGGAAUAAUAUGCAACAAUAUCUGUUCCCUGCCUGCCCUGUGCCUUGGACCAUGUUGAAUCCACAAGGGUAAAGUGAGAAACAGAAGCUGUUGGCAAAGGUCUAGGUGACAAAAUAGCCCAGAGUUAAGAAAAGGGCAUAAAACCUAUUGCCUAUAAGGUACUCCUCUAAAAUUUGGCAACUUCUCUGAAUGGUACCUUUUUGUUGUUAUUUUUCAUUUAAAAACUGUCUUGUAUCUAAUCAACUCUAUGGUUCUCAAAUAGAUUAUCAAUUAAUUCUCUUGGGAUUGCUAGUCACCUUUUCUAUAAUUUUGCCUCCUAAUACUUUCUGCUUUAUUAUAUUUGCUGUAACAAAUAUUCUUUUAAAAUUAGUUGUAAAGAUGAAACAGUGUUGAAGUUUCAAAUAGAUAUGGGAAGUAGAGAUUUGAUGAAAGGAUAUUUACAUUCUGGUGAUCAGAUUUUUGGAUUUCAAAGACCAGUCAAUUUUCUUUUAGUGUUUAGGGGACUGAUAUAAGGCUGAAACAUUUUUACAUUUCCAAUUUAUGAACAAUAAAACAAAUAGAAUAAUUUUUAUCUUACAGCUCAUUCAUUGUGUUUUAUAGUUUUUCACUUCAGCACAAAUUGGUAAAAAUAACAUCAGGCAAAGCACUGGUUCCUGGUUUAAUGAGCAGGGUUUAAAAAAUUGAUUAUAUUUUUUGACUACAUUUACUAUAGAUCCCUUUCAGGUAGAUGCACUUUUCCAACCAUUUGUUUUCCUAUUUAUGAAGAGACAAUGAACUUUUGCUACUAAGAUAUAUUUCUAGUAAUGAGCCAUGGUGCCAGUAGUUUGAAACAUCUGAACCACGUAUUUUGCUUUAAAUCCUAAUAUAUACAUAGCCUUCUUGGACAAUAAUCGUUAUCACUUACAUUUGUAUAACACGUAAGUUUCAAAGCUUUCAUAUACACUAGUGCACUUUAUCCUUUGAAUAGUUUACAUUUCGUUACUCAUUCUUGCAUUACUCAUCAUGAGGAAAUUAGAAUUUCAGAAAUGUCAACUUUGCCUUCAUUCUGAGGUACUAAUUUUUCACAUUUC